CUUUGAAUUUAUUCUUUUUUUAUGACUCUUGUUCUUCAGGGGCUGCAUGACAACCCAAAGCUGUGUGCACUGUAUGUAGUAAAAGGAUCAUCAGAUGAUGUUCCCAAAUUGCCUCCCAUCCCGGGAAUGGAACCAGACGAAGAAGAGGAGUUGUCCAGGGACAAACCAGACAAGGCACGCAGAACCUCGGGACCAAAAACACCCAAUCCAUACGACAGCGAUGAAAGUAGCACCAUGUUCCCCAUCCUAAUGGCCAUCGGAGUGUUCCUCCCAACCUUGUUUUGUCUGUGUAGGUUAUGACACGCCCACGAACAGCUAUUCAUGUGAUGUAUAUUUCAUAUUCAAUUGUACCACUGUGCGACUGUGUAUCAACAUACAUACUGGUAGUGACUUACCAAACAUGAUUUUGUAAAUGAAAUCGGAGUGGAAA